GUUAGAAUUUUUGAUAUUUUAGCUGUUUCCAUGGUAACGGCAGCCAUUUUGAAAAUUCCAAAGUCAAACUGGAAAUCAGCACAUGCCAGUUAACAUUCCUGUGGAGUUUCUUCCAGUUUGGAACACUUUGAUUUUUUUCGCAUUUGUGCUGUUUCCAUGGAAACGGCGGCCAUCUUUUACCAUUCCAUAGCAAGGUGCACAACUUUACAUGGGGGUCCUCAUUAUAGUAAAGUUCCAUCAACAUUGGUCCAUUGGAUUCCGAGAAACACGACGGACAAAAUGUGUGGAAGAAGAAAAAGAAAAAUAAGAAAAAAAAGAAACGUAGAAUAACAAUAUGUAAGAUAAAAAUGUCAGGGUGACAUAAUAAUAAUAAUAAGAAAAAAAAGAAACGUAGAAUAACAAUACGUCACCCCAACUCCGUUGAGGGUGCCAUAAAAAGAAACGUAGAAUAACAAUAUGUCACCCCAACUCCGUUGAGGGUGCCAUAAUAAGGAAAAAAAGAAACGUACAAUAACAAUACGUCACCCCAACUCCGUUGAGGGUGCCAUAAAAAGGAAA
rnacentral:lncRNA from 1 species